rnacentral:SRP_RNA from 10 species
GCUGAGUGUGGUGGUGCACACCUGUGGUCCCAGUUUCUUGGGAAGCUGAGGCAGGAGGAUCUCCUGAGUCCAAGAGAUCUGGGCUGUAGUACAGUAUGCCAAUCAGGUGUUUGCCCUAAGUUUGGCAUUAAUAUGGUGUCCUCCCAGGAGCGGACCAAAUUGCCCAAGAAGGGAUGAAUCAGCCAAGGUCGGAAAUGGAGCAGGUCAAAACUCCUGUGUUGAUCAGUAGUGGGAUCACUCCUGUGAUUAGCCACUAAACUCUAGCCUGGGCAAUAUAGCAAGACCCCCAUGUCU